rnacentral:rRNA from 1 species
UACGGAAGGGGCAAGCGUUGUUCGGAAUCAUUGGGCGUAAAGGGCGCGUAGGUGGUUCUGUAUGUCUACCGUGAAAGCGUACGGCUCAACUGUAUUUUGUCGGUGGAAACUGCAGGACUUGAGGCUGGGAGGGGCUGGUGGAAUUCCCUGUGUAGCGGUGAAAUGCGUAGAUAUCAGGAGGAAUACCGAUGGCGAAGGCAGGUCUCUGGGCUGACACUGACGCUCAUGCACGAAAGCGUGGGGAGCAAACAGG